ensembl:lncRNA
UUCCGCUCUCCCGGCGCGGCCCAGGAGAAAACACCGCGUCCCGCCCCGCUGCUGCCGGGAGGAACAGUGAUGCGGUGGGCUCUGUUUGCACGACUUCGGUGAAAAACUGUCUGCGAUGAAAGUGCAGCCGUGGAGCGGAGCGGCGCGCAGAGCGCUCCGGGGGAAGCUCAGACUGCAGUCCGUGCGCUCUGUGCUGCUGCUGCAAAACCGCCGUGAGCGGCGGCACGAGGGGGGGCACUGACAGCACACCACGGUGACACCGCCCUGUGGGGCGGGGGGGGAUGGGGAUCCAGGGGUAUGGGGUUGGGUUUGGGGUCUGGGAGGUGAUGGGGAUCCAGGGGUAUGGGGUUGGGUUUGGGGUCUGGGAGGUGAUGGGGAUCCAGGGGUAUGGGGUUGGGUUUGGGGUCUGGGAGGUGAUGGGGAUCCAGGGAUAUGGGGUUGGGUUUGGGGUCUGGGAGGUGAUGGGGAUCCAGGGGUAUGGGGUUGGGUUUGGGGUCUGGGAGGUGAUGCUGAGCUGCGGGUGCUGGGGGAGCAGUCAGCCUCGCAUGGCCGCGUGGUGGGAUCUGUGCCGGAGCCCUAUUUGUAGUACAGCACACAAUGGGUGAUGGGCCGUCGGUGAUGAGCGACGGGAGAUGAGGGGGGGAUGAUGGGUUGUGGGAUGUCAGUGGGGUCAGUGGUUGGUGGUGGGUGGUGGGUGAUGGGCAGUGGGCAGCGGUGGGUGAUGGGGAAUGGGCAAUAGGUGCCGGGCAAUGGGAGAUGGGUGUUGGGCAAUGGGCGAUGGGCGAUGGGUGAUGGCACCCAGCGGGGGUCGGGGGUCCCAGGGCUCCUCACAUCCAUCCCCACUGCUUCAAAGGGACAGGACUGUGCCUGUGGGUGCGCGCUGCUGCCCCACACGGGGCUCAUUAACGGCUCGAUGGGGGAGAAGCGUGUCCCCGUGGCGUGGCGCCGAGGUGGGCUCCGUC